rnacentral:rRNA from 1 species
GUGGGGAAUAUUGGACAAUGGGCGCAAGCCUGAUCCAGCCAUGCCGCGUGGGUGAUGAAGGCCCUAGGGUUGUAAAGCCCUUUCGGCGGGGAAGAUAAUGACGGUACCCGCAGAAGAAGCCCCGGCUAACUUCGUGCCAGCAGCCGCGGUAAUACGAAGGGGGCUAGCGUUGCUCGGAAUCACUGGGCGUAAAGCGCACGUAGGCGGCUUGUUAAGUCAGGGGUGAAAUCCUGGAGCUCAACUCCAGAACUGCCUUUGAUACUGGCAAGCUUGAGUUCGGGAGAGGUGAGUGGAACUGCGAGUGUAGAGGUGAAAUUCGUAGAUAUUCGCAAGAACACCAGUGGCGAAGGCGGCUCACUGGCCCGAUACUGACGCUGAGGUGCGAAAGCGUGGGGAGCAAACAGGAUUAGAAACCCCAGUAGUCC